rnacentral:rRNA from 1 species
GACGAACGCUGGCGGCGUGCUUAACACAUGCAAGUCGAACGGUAAGGCCCUUCGGGGUACACGAGUGGCGAACGGGUGAGUAACACGUGGGUGAUCUGCCCUGCACUUCGGGAUAAGCCUGGGAAACUGGGUCUAAUACCGGAUAGGACCACUGCCUGCAUGGGUGGUGGUGGAAAGCUUUUGCGGUGUGGGAUGGGCCCGCGGCCUAUCAGGUUGUUGGUGGGGUGAUGGCCUACCAAGGCGACGACGGGGAGCCGGCCUGAGAGGGUGACCGGCCACACUGGGACUGAGAUACGGCCCAGACUCCUACGGGAGGCAGCAGUGGGGAAUAUUGCACAAUGGGCGCAAGCCUGAUGCAGCGACGCCGCGUGAGGGAUGACGGCCUUCGGGUUGUAAACCUCUUUCAGCACCGACGAAGCGCAAGUGACGGUAGGUGCAGAAGAAGGACCGGCCAACUACGUGCCAGCAGCCGCCGUAA